UACGGAGGAUGCGAGCGUUAUCCGGAAUUACUGGGUGUAAAGGGAGCGUAGGCGGUACGGCAAGUCAGAAGUGAAAGCCUGGGGCUCAACCCCGGAAUUGCUUUUGAAACUGUCGGACUAGAGUGUCGGAGGGGUAAGCGGAAUUCCUAGUGUAGCGGUGAAAUGCGUAGAUAUUAGGAGGAACACCGGUGGCGAAGGCGGCUUACUGGACGACCACUGACGCUGAGGCUCGAAAGCGUGGGGAGCAAACAGG
rnacentral:rRNA from 1 species